rnacentral:misc_RNA from 1 species
GAUGAAGAACGCAGCGAAAUGCGAUAAGUAAUGUGAAUUGCAGAAUUCAGUGAAUCAUCGAAUCUUUGAACGCACAUUGCGCCCGCCAGUAUUCUGGCGGGCAUGCCUGUCCGAGCGUCAUUUCAACCAUCAAGCCCCGGGCUUGUGUUGGGGACCUGCGUCCGACGCAGGCCCCGAAAACCAGUGGCGGGCUCGCUGUCCACACCGAGCGUAGUAGCUAACCUCGCUCCGGAGUGGCGCGGGCGCCUGCCGUAAAACCCCCCCAAUUUUACAAGGUUGACCUCGGAUCAGGUAGGAAUACCCGCUGAACUUAAGCAUAUCAAUAAGCGGAGGA